UCCUCAAGGUAUAGAGAAGAAGCCCUGCAGCCCGUCUAUGCAGAUGGUUGGAUGGAGCGGAGAGGAAAUUAAAAAAAGGACGAUUUUUAUUUUCAUCCACAAAAUGUCAUCAAAAAUAUAAAAGUUGUGAAAGUAUGUAAUAAACCCAAGUAAUUUCAGUAAGGAGACAUAAUUCUCUAUGAAUAUUUAAAGUUGCAUGUCACAUAUGAUACUUAUUUAAACUAUCAUCUCCGUGCUCUUAAAUUACCCUUUUUUAACAGUUGGUAGAUAAAUAAAAUAAACAUUGUUUAAAUAAAAUCCACAUCGUUUGCUUUAAAAGAAAGCUUAUCAACUCUGGUAGUGAAAUAACCCUGGUAUUACUAACGUAUAUUUAACUAAAUAUAAGUUGUCUAAGGAAAAUACUCUUGUGUCUGUACUCAAGCCAAAAUUUUGCCCACAACUUCUGUGUUUCUUUGGCGGCCAAAAUCAUCGUUUUAGACAUCUCACGUGGUCUCUGCUGAGAUUUGGAUAGGUACACGUUCCCCCCCUCUCUUGCAGCCUGCAGACAGACCCCUCUCAAUAGGAGGGAAGAUCAGAUCACAACAAACGGGGUCCCAGAGAGAGCUCUCUUAUGUAAAGACCUGUCCGACAGUUUUGGCGUACCAGCUGUGUUUAAAACAGCAGCAUUAGCUGAAAUGUUAACGUGCUUGUGAAGCGGUCGUCAUAGAGCUGCAUUUCCUGGACGAGACUAAACUCUCCCAAAUCCUGUUGUGCCCUGAGGAUCUCAUGAACACACACCCUCUCCUCCUGUGCUGCUAGCUCCUGUCACGGCUCUGGCUGUGAUCCUGUUUCUCUGUGUAUCCCUUGUGUCCCCUCCCCCUCUGUCUGUCUGUCUGUGUGUGUGUGUGUGUGUGUGUGUGUGUGUGUGUGUGUGUGUGUGUGUGUGUGUGUGUGUGUCUCUGGAGGGCGUGGCUUCAAUCAAACACCUGGUGACCACUCACACCUGCAACUCAUCUGCUUAUCUGCCUCAGACUAAGACCCAGGGUUCAACUCGACUCAUUGCCAGAUUAUUGAGUCUACUGAAGUGAUUUUCACCGGUGUCAUCUCCUCCAGUCUGCUCUCCUCUCAGACAACUCAACCAAUUACCUGUCUGCCUACGGAACCAGCUAACUCCAUAAGACUCCUCCACGCCGUCACUACCAGCCAGCCAGUCAGCCAUUCACUGAUACCUAGCCCUGCAAUAAAACCUCAAACCCUUCAA